AUGACUGAUGUGAGUCCAUGGAUUAUACGCACUCUCACCCUUCCAUCAUUGCUAGCCUCUCCGGUACUGUGCAUUUCCCUUUGUCACCUCGAGAGUUGGUGCAAACUUCACCGGUGCAUCCAAACCUUGUGA
rnacentral:rRNA from 1 species